rnacentral:rRNA from 1 species
UACGUAGGGUGCGAGCGUUAAUCGGAAUUACUGGGCGUAAAGCGUGCGCAGGCGGUUGUGUAAGACAGAUGUGAAAUGCCCGGGCUUAACCUGGGAACUGCAUUUGUGACUGCACGGCUAGAGUUUGGCAGAGGGGGGUAGAAUUCCACGUGUAGCAGUGAAAUGCGUAGAUAUGUGGGAGGAAUACCGAUGGCGAAGGCA